UACGUAGGGGGCGAGCGUUGUCCGGAUUCAUUGGGCGUAAAGAGCUCGUAGGCGGUUCGGCAAGUCGGGUGUGAAAACUCCAGGCUCAACCUGGAGACGCCACCCGAUACUGCUGUGACUUGAGUCCGGUAGGGGACCACGGAAUUCCUGGUGUAGCGGUGAAAUGCGCAGAUAUCAGGAGGAACACCGGUGGCGAAGGCGGCAUCCUGGACCGGCAUUGACGCUGAGGCGCGAAAGCCAGGGGAGCAAACGGG
rnacentral:rRNA from 1 species